rnacentral:rRNA from 1 species
CAGCCGCCGCGGUAAAACGAAGGGUGCAAGCGUUAAUCGGAAUUACUGGGCGUAAAGCGUGCGUAGGCGGUGAGUUAAGUCUGCUGUGAAAUCCCCGGGCUCAACCUGGGAAUGGCAGUGGAUACUGGCUCGCUAGAGUGUGUCAGAGGAUGGUGGAAUUCCCGGUGUAGCGGUGAAAUGCGUAGAGAUCGGGAGGAACAUCAGUGGCGAAGGCGGCCAUCUGGGACAACACUGACGCUGAGGCACGAAAGCGUGGGGAGCAAACAGGAUUAGAUACCCGCGUAGUCCCUGUCUCUUAUAC